CACAUUCCCGGCCAAGAUGGCGGCUGUUCACCUCGCAACUGCAAAACACUUAGCCACAAGUUAUUUUUCAAGGUGCUCGCUUCUCGCUGGAAGGAUUUAUUCUCAAUCUGAAUCCCUCUCUCCAGCUCCUGCAGCCUUAUCGUCUGGAAAAGCGCGUCUCGCCAUUUCCCACAGAGACAAACCCAGCACUGCGGCUGCACUGCCCUCGCCUGUAUUAUGGUCAAAUGAGAGCUUCAUCACUCCAGGUCCCUGAGUUGUGCCCAGAUGAGUGGAUGAGUGAAUUCCGUGAGGACAGGAGACUGCCAUUGCUGUUCCCACUCUGACCUGCAGUGACCGAUGAUACUUGCCUCCAGGUUAUUGACCUUGUAUCUGGUUCACUCACUGACAACUGGUUGCUGGGGAUGAUGUUUUUCUGUGCAUGUCUGAUUCCUGUUUCAGUUAUACUUUUGUUAUCCAGCUUUCUAUUAACGGUUGCUGAUUGCUGACAACACUUCCCACUGUUUUGCUCCUCCAGUCUCUUUGGUUUCACUCCUCAGAUGGAACC